UACGAAGGGGGCUAGCGUUGCUCGGAAUCACUGGGCGUAAAGCGCACGUAGGCGGCUUUCUAAGUCAGGGGUGAAAUCCUGGAGCUCAACUCCAGAACUGCCUUUGAUACUGGAGAGCUUGAGUCCGGGGAGAGGUGAGUGGAACUCCGAGUGUAGAGGUGAAAUUCGUAGAUAUUCGGAAGAACACCAGUGGCGAAGGCGGCUCACUGGCCCGGUACUGACGCUGAUGUGCGAAAGCGUGGG
rnacentral:rRNA from 1 species